rnacentral:rRNA from 1 species
CAGUCGCCGCGGUAAUACGGAGGGUGCAAGCGUUAAUCGGAAUUACUGGGCGUAAAGCGCACGCACGCGGUCUGACAAGUCAGAUGUGAAAUCCCCGGGCUUAACCUGGGAACUGCAUUUGAAACUGUCAGGCUGGAGUCUUGUAGAGGGGGGUGGAAUUCCAGGUGUAGCGGUGAAAUGCGUAGAGAUCUGGAGGAAUACCGGUGGCGAAGGCGGCCCCCUGGACAAAGACUGACGCUCAGGUGCGAAAGCGUGGGGAGCAAACAGGAUUAGAUACCCGAGUAGUCCCUGUCUCUUAUAC